rnacentral:rRNA from 1 species
GACGAACGCUGGCGGCGUGCCUAAUGCAUGCAAGUCGAGCGACGCACAUCGGAGGGGUAACCCACCGAUAUGACGGAGCGGCGAACGGGUGAGUAACACGUGAGCAACCUGCCCCACAGAUCGGGAUAGCCCAGGGAAACCUGGAUUAAUACCGAAUACCCUCGAGUAACCACAUGAUUGUUCGAGGAAAUGCCUUUGUGCUGUGGGAUGGGCUCGCGGCUUAUCAGCUAGUUGGUGGGGUAACGGCCUACCAAGGCAUCGACGAGUAGCUGGUCUGAGAGGACGAUCAGCCACACUGGGACUGAGACACGGCCCAGACUCCUACGGGAGGCAGCAGCAGGGAAUCUUGCGCAAUGGGCGAAAGCCUGACGCAGCAACGCCGCGUGGGGGAUGAAGGCCUUCGGGUUGUAAACCCCUUUCAGGAGGGAAGAAAUUGACGGUACCUCCAAAAGAAGCCCCGGCCAACUACGUGCCAGCCGCCGCCGUAACAC